UUUUUUUUGUCUGUUUGUCUGUUUGUCUGUUUGUCUGUUUGUCUGUUUGUCUGUUUGUCUGUUUGUCUUGUUGUCUGUACAUUGAAAAUAAAAAUAAAAAAAAUAGCAGGGGUUAUUGUUAUGUCGAUGUCGAACCCAAAAAUGUAAUUAACUUUUUUUUGUCUGUUUGUCUGUUUGUCUGUUUGUCUGUUUGUCUGUUUGUCUGUUUGUCUGUUUGUCUGUUCGUCUGUGCGCGCUAAUCUCAGAAACGGCUGAUCCGAGUUGGAUGUGGUUUUCACGAAUAUAUUGUGGGAUGCUUAAAUUUACAUUUAGUGUUUGUUUCAUGUCAAUCGGUUCAUAAAUAAAAAAGUUAUGUCAAAUUAAAGAAUCACGUCGAACAUUCUAUGCUUAUACCAUUAAUCUCCGCAACUAUUUGACGGAUUUGGUUGAAAUUUGGUACAGAUAUAGUUUAGAACCUUAGAAAGGACAUAGAUAUAUUUUUAUUUCAAAAAUCAAAAAAUAUAAAUAAGAAAUAAAUUAUUUAUAAAUAAUUCUAUGUCGAUCGUUACACGACUUCGGUUCAUGUUAUUGUUUAAAUUUAUCGAAAAAAAGUAAAUAAAUAGUAAAAAGGUAUGAAAAAAAUAAUAUCAAUAUAAUUAAACUUUUAGUACAAAGAAAAUGCCCGAACGGAGUAUAAAUAAAUAAUCCAAGUUGUCUUUAUCCUCGAUAGAUCGAAAUAGAUCGCGCUAUGGUUUCGUUACAUUCAUUUGGUUGGGUAUCGGCCGAGCGCUUCGGUACUAUCGUAGAAAAAGUGUAUUAUCAGUCGUAUGAUUAUUUGUCUGUAGUGGUCCUGCUGUUUCGUAUAUUCUAAAUUGGUUUCGUUGUAUUUGUCAAUUAAUAAGUUUAUUUGUUGGGUUUUCCUGGUUUUUUGGUUAAACUAUUUAACGUAGGUUUAGUUUGAUAUCGAUUAUUAGUAGUUACUGUAGUUAGUUUUUUAAUAAAAUUGUAAGUCUAAUUUUUUUUUUAUUAGAUUAGAUUUAAGUCGUUUCUUUUAAAUUAUUUAGUUUAAGCUUGGUUAUUAUAGCAUAGAGGAUA